ACUUUCGAUUUAAUACUUCCAGGCAGCAAUCGAAAAAUGUCACUUUGUUAUGCUUUGGUUAUGCUCAGAUGACAGCGUUAAAAUAAACCUACAUCCUAUGUAGAUUCCCUACUUAUGUAAAAAGAGGAAGAAGUGGAUUUAUAGAUGCAGAUGCUGUUAUAUACAUCAUGUCCUUCAGGAGUAUCAAUGUGCUGGUGGCUGGUAUGAAGAGAAUGUGCCAAUUUUAACAAGUUCUAGGAUGGGCGGUACAAGGGUUUAUACCAGUGAUCAAUUUCUCAUGACUCUUAUGAAGUUGCACCAAAAUCUAAAAUGUAAAUUAAUUGGAUGUCACGUGGCAUGAAAUACGAACGUAUGGCUAAAUGUCAUAAAAUAAUCAUUUAUAUACACUAGUAUAUGGAACUUUAAAACGGGAUUGUCCGUAAUUUCGUCACCGUCAUUGAAUUUAUAUGUAAAAACCGUGUCACGUGGUAAGGCAGCUGCAUGAGGUUUCGAAAAAUAUCUACAUGUAGUUCAUUUUACUCAGACUUCGUGAUCAACAGACACACAUAAAAAAUGUGUACAACCUUCGUGAUUGGCCUAUAGGAAUCUGAUAACAACCCAGGGUAGUAAACUGGCCGCCCUAUAGAAUAUAAAAUAAUAACUUUGCAUGUGCGCAGUAUGUCUCGUGUCGCGGCAGGCGUUGGCUGGUUGAAGAAGUCUCAUUGCUACGACCCUGAGCGCUAAGCAUAGGUCUAAUUGUAGUACUUCACCUACAACGGGUGACGUCUCAGAAUGAGUGAAAAAUAAUCGACGGGACGUAAAGCAGACAAACAAAGCAAUCGGCCGUGUGGUAUCGGAAUGACAACACUACUUCUGUAUAUUCUAAACUUCCCAUAUAGUUUAAGCAGACAGACAAAGCAAUCGGCCGUGUGGUAUCGGAAUGACAACACUACUUCUGUAUAUUCUAAACUUCCCAUAUAGUUUAAGCAGACAGACAAAGCAAUCGGCCGUGUGGUAUCGGAAUGACAACACUACUUCUGUAUAUUCUAAACUUCCCAUAGUUUAAGAAUGUGUCGGUUUUAGUGACUUUUAUUACGUCUUUGAUAUGGAAUUUACAAAACCCGAAACUCUGAAGCCUUUAAUCGAUCUUUCACAACUAACGAACUUCAAAACGAAACAUUAAAACGUUUUAUUCACGUUAACAUCUAUGCUCAUCUGCUUUUUCAACAAUGCAGAGCAUUUUUUUCUAGAAUACUUUUUUUAAUACGAGUGUAAUGUCUUAUGUUUCGCAUUUUUUAGGUGAGUGGUUUAAUUCCGUAAUAAAAAUGAUAUAUUUUUAGUACUUUCAUUUCUAAAGAUUACAAAGUUCUCCCAUCUAGUUUUUUUUUUUCGGGGAUCUUUCUUCCGUCACUACAACUCUUAAGUCUGUUAUCCUCAGAUUUUGAUCGAUUAUCGGAGGUGAGCAAAGCUGAUGCUGUUACAUCUAAAACUUGUAUGGGGGCGAUACUUAUUUUGGAAGUAUGUACAUUGCUUUGAUUGAUAAUAAAGAAAAUCUUUUGCUA